AUGGCGAAGCACACUACCUUCCUCCUCGUAGCAAUAGUAGCCAUCCUUCUCACUGCCACUGCCGCCACCCUGGCCAAGGCCCCCGCCCCCACAGCCAACAAGCCGACGGCAUACGAAAUGCUAGGGCGAUAUGGCUUCCCACCGGGCAUCCUCCCGGAGGGAGUGCAUGACUACGAGCUCCGACCAGACGGCUCCUUUGAGGUAAAUUUCGUGUUGACGGCCAGUACGACGUCCACUACAGCACCCGGGUCGCCGGGAACAUAA
rnacentral:rRNA from 1 species